rnacentral:rRNA from 1 species
UACAUAGGUAGCGAGCGUUAUCCGGAAUAACUGGGCGUAAAGGGAGUGUAGGUGGCGUGAUAAGUCUAUUGUGAAGGCCCACGGCUUAACUAUGGGAUUGCAGUAGAAACUGUUUUGCUAGAGUGCGAGAGAGGCAAGUGGAGUUCCUAGUGUAGCGGUAGAAUGCGUAGAGAUUAGGAGGAACACCAGAGGCGAAGGCGACUUGCUGGCUCGUAACUGACACUGAGACUCGAAAGCGUGGGGAGCAAAC